rnacentral:rRNA from 1 species
GAUGAACGCUGGCGGCGUGCCUAAUACAUGCAAGUCGAGCGAACAGAUAAGGAGCUUGCUCCUUUGACGUUAGCGGCGGACGGGUGAGUAACACGUGGGUAACCUACCUAUAAGACUGGGAUAACUUCGGGAAACCGGAGCUAAUACCGGAUAACAUUUGGAACCGCAUGGUUCUAAAGUGAAAGAUGGUUUUGCUAUCACUUAUAGAUGGACCCGCGCCGUAUUAGCUAGUUGGUAAGGUAACGGCUUACCAAGGCGACGAUACGUAGCCGACCUGAGAGGGUGGUCGGCCACACUGGAACUGAGACACGGUCCAGACUCCUACGGGAGGGAGCAGUAGGGAAUCUUCCGCAAUGGGCGAAAGCCUGACGGAGCAACGCCGCGUGAGUGAUGAAGGGUUUCGGCUCGUAAAAAUCUGUUAUUAGGGAAGAACAAAUGUGUAAGUAACUGUGCACGUCUUGACGGUACCUAAUCAGAAAGCCACGGCUAACUACGUG